GUGCCUGUGGCUCAAAGGGUAGGGCGCUGGCUCCAUAUGCCGGAGGUGGCAGGUUCAAAUCCAGCUCUGGCCA
rfam:Otolemur garnettii contig050514, whole genome shotgun sequence.